rnacentral:rRNA from 1 species
GACGGAGGAUGCAAGCGUUAUCCGGAAUGAUUGGGCGUAAAGCGUCCGCAGGUGGCAGUUCAAGUCUGCUGUCAAAGACCGGGGCUUAACUUCGGAAAGGCAGUGGAAACUGAACAGCUAGAGUAUGGUAGGGGCAGAGGGAAUUCCUGGUGUAGCGGUGAAAUGCGUAGAGAUCAGGAAGAACAUCGGUGGCGAAGGCGACAUCCUGGACCAACACUGACGCUGAGGAGCGAAAGCCAGGGGAGCAAACGGG